AUUGAACGCUGGCGGCAGGCCUAACACAUGCAAGUCGAGCGGGGUUUUCGGACCUAGCGGCGGACGGGUGAGUAAUGCGUAGGAAGCUACCCGAUAGAGGGGGAUACCAGUUGGAAACGACUGUUAUUACCGCAUAAUGUCUACGGACCAAAGUGUGGGACCUUCGGGCCACAUGCUAUCGGAUGCGCCUACGUGGGAUUAGCUAGUUGGUGGGGUAAUGGCUCACCAAGGCGACGAUCCCUAGCUGGUUUGAGAGGAUGAUCAGCCACACUGGAACUGAGACACGGUCCAGACUCCUACGGGAGGCAGCAGUGGGGAAUAUUGGACAAUGGGCGCAAGCCUGAUCCAGCCAUGCCGCGUGUGUGAAGAAGGCCUUCGGGUUGUAAAGCACUUUCAGUAGGGAGGAAGCGUUGUGUGUUAAUAGUACACAGCGUUGACGUUACCUACAGAAGAAGCACCGGCUAACUCUGUGCCAGCCGCCGCCGUAACAC
rnacentral:rRNA from 1 species